rnacentral:lncRNA from 1 species
CCAUGUAGACUUUAACAAGCGUGAUAUAAAUAGCUGCAAUGAAUUAAUAACAAAGCUGAGAAAGUGGAAUAAAAGGUGUUUAUAUUCCAAAGGUUCUUGAUUACAAAAGCUGAAAGCAUAAGGAGGUAAAGCACUGCUAUAUAUAGCAGGAGACACUAGCUAACUAGGUUUGUCUAUUCCCUAACAAACUGAUACUAGAUAACAAAGAGGGACCACUGCUAACGGUUAGAGAUCAGGUGAAGCCAAAUAAGUGGUCCUGCAGAAGAUGGAGCAGUCUGUCUGGGAAUGAAGUUUUAUUGUGCGGAAACAACAGAAGAGUCUCACAUAAACAUGUGCAAGAGUGCAUGAUGUUUAUUGAGACGAGAAGCAGCUUAAUGGCUGCAAUACUC